GCGGAAGUGGCGGAAUUGGCAGACGCGCAUGAUUCAGGUUCAUGUGAGGUAACACUCGUGGAGGUUCGAGUCCUCUCUUCCGCA
rnacentral:tRNA from 1 species